rnacentral:rRNA from 1 species
GAUGAACGCUGGCGGCGUGCCUAAUACAUGCAAGUCGAGCGAACAGACGAGGAGCUUGCUCCUCUGACGUUAGCGGCGGACGGGUGAGUAACACGUGGAUAACCUACCUAUAAGACUGGGAUAACUUCGGGAGACCGGAGCUAAUACCGGAUAAUAUAUUGAACCGCAUGGUUCAAUAGUGAAAGACGGUUUUGCUGUCACUUAUAGAUGGAUCCGCGCCGCAUUAGCUAGUUGGUAAGGUAACGGCUUACCAAGGCGACGAUGCGUAGCCGACCUGAGAGGGUGAUCGGCCACACUGGAACUGAGACACGGUCCAGACUCCUACGGGAGGCAGCAGUAGGGAAUCUUCCGCAAUGGGCGAAAGCCUGACGGAGCAACGCCGCGUGAGUGAUGAAGGUCUUCGGAUCGUAAAACUCUGUUAUUAGGGAAGAACAAAUGUGUAAGUAACUAUGCACGUCUUGACGGUACCUAAUCAGAAAGCCACGGCUAACUACGUG